rnacentral:rRNA from 1 species
GAUGAACGCUAGCGGCAGGCCUAAUAUAUGCAAGUCGAACGAGAUCCAGGAGCUUGCUUUUGGUGAAAGUGGCGCACGGGUGCGUAACGCGUAUGCAACCUACCUUAAUCAGGGGGAUAGCCUCUCGAAAGAGAGAUUAACACCGCAUAACAUCAUUUUACGGCAUCGUAGAAUGAUCAAAUAUUUAUAGGAUUAAGAUGGGCAUGCGUGACAUUAGCUAGUGGGUGAGGUAAUGGCUCACCAAGGCUACGAUGUCUAGGGGAUCUGAGAGGAUGACCCCCCACACUGGUACUGAGACACGGACCAGACUCCUACGGGAGGCAGCAGUAAGGAAUAUUGGUCAAUGGAGGCAACUCUGAACCAGCCAUGCCGCGUGCAGGAAGACGGCCCUAUGGGUUGUAAACUGCUUUUAUACAGGAAGAAACGACCCUUGCGAGGGGCAUUGACGGUACUGUAUGAAUAAGCACCGGCUAACUCCGUGCCAGCCGCCGCAGUAAGAC